UACGGGGGGGAGCAAGCGUUGUUCGGAUUUACUGGGCGUAAAGGGCGCGUAGGCGGUCAGCACAAGUCAGUUGUGAAAUCUCCGGGCUUAACUCGGAAAGGUCAACUGAUACUGUGCGACUAGAGUGCGGAAGGGGCAACUGGAAUUCUCGGUGUAGCGGUGAAAUGCGUAGAUAUCGAGAGGAACACCUGCGGCGAAGGCGGGUUGCUGGGCUGACACUGACGCUGAAGUGCGAAAGCUAGGGGAGCGAACGGG
rnacentral:rRNA from 1 species